rnacentral:lncRNA from 1 species
UUUUUUUCUUCUUUUUUAUAUAACGAUGUUUCUAUCACAAGAUUAAAUAUCAGUGUACUUUUCUUCCAAUGUAAUCUUACCUAACAUCAGUAUUGAUUUAUAAAUAAUACAAUUGUCAUGAAAUUCAAAAUAGUGUGGCAAUAGUAUUGCCAGUAAUCUCUUGAUAACAGAAGUUGUCUCCCUUAUAAAAUUUAUUAACAUGGGAAGUAACUCUUGGCACAAACAAGUUUACUGCUGAUUUAGAUCUAAUGCAACAUACUCGUAUAUGUAUUGUAAUAUUGUGUCUUAUAUGUACAGGUUUUUUAAUUUCCUACUUAUCUUUCCUAAUAAUGGAGUGAGUGAAUUUUUCUUUGUUAGGAAACCAUUAUCAGACUCUGUCUAAUCUUCUGAGUUAUGUCCCCUGCUAAAUAAUUACUAUAACAUGAAAAUAGUCUUUUAGACAGCUUACAUUAAAAACUUUUAAAUUUUUAGUGGACGGAUAACUGUAAAUGUUAAGGUCCAGAUUUUUGGGGGGAUAUUUAUUUAUUAAGUUACUAUUUCUUAUCAUGAGGGUAAACCAAUGACAUGUUAUUUCUUCAGUAGAUCUUACAUGUAACAUAUUAUGAUCCAAAAUUAAUAACAUACACUUUGGUUAAAUGACAGCUCUUAAAAUUCCAGGAUGCAAAUACCAUCAUUCCAAAAUUUGCAUUGACAUAUUUUUAAUAAUACAGUGGUUAUCUCCCUUUGCAAGCUUUGUACCCUUGGAUACCAAUGUUUGUUUACCCUUAGCAAUCCUGUCUACAAAUUCUGACAUUACUUUUUUAAUCAUCGAUUUAUCAGUGGAAUAAUUAGACAAAGGGUAAGCAGAUGAAUCAAAAAUCAUUAUAUAAUUAAUUAUGAUUAUCCUUUAACCAGUUUAAAGAAGAAACCAUGAUAAAAGACAAUGUGAUUUUACCAAUCUUACAUGUGUUUUUAACAUGUUAUAAUUCAACAAAUGUUAGUUAAGUAUUU